GAUGAACGCUGGCGGCGUGCCUAAUACAUGCAAGUCGAGCGAACAGACGAGGAGCUUGCUCCUCUGACGUUAGCGGCGGACGGGUGAGUAAUACGUGGAUCACCUACCUACCAGACUGGGAUAACUUCGGGACACCGGAGCUCAUACCGGAUAAUAUAUUGAACCGCAUGGUUCAAUAGUGAAAGACGGUUUUGGUGUCACUUAUAGAUGGAUCCGCUCCGCAUUAGCUAGUUGGUAAAGUAACGGCUUACCAAGGCUACGAUGCGUAGCCGACCUGAGAGGGUGAUCGGCCACACUGGAACUGAGACACUGUCCAGACUCCUACGGGAGGCAGCAGUAGGGAAUCUUCCGCAAUGGGCGAAAGCCUGACGGAGCAACGCCGCGUGAGUGAUGAAGGUCUUCGGAUCGUAAAACUCUGUUAUUAGGGAAGAACAAAUGUGUAAGUAACUAUGCACGUCUUGACGGUACCUAAUCAGAAAGCCACGGCUAACUACGUGCCAGCCGCCGCCGUAA
rnacentral:rRNA from 1 species